UACGGGGGGGGGUAAGCGUUGUUCGGAAUUACUGGGCGUAAAGGGCUCGUAGGCGGCCAACUAAGUCAUACGUGAAAUCCCUCAGCUUAACUGGGGGAACUGCGUGUGAUACUGGCAGUCUCGAGUGCGGGAGAGGUGAGUGGAAUUCCCAGUGUAGAGGUGAAAUUCGUAGAUAUUGGGAAGAACACCAGUGGCGAAGGCGGCUAACUGGUCCAGAUCUGACGCUGAGGUGCGAAAGCGUGGGGAGCAAACAGG
rnacentral:rRNA from 1 species